UGCAUUCUUUUUUGCAGUGUUUUAGUCCCAACAGUCAUUCAUCAUGCAUGCCUUAGUUGGUGCAACAACACCAACCUUCACACCUAUUUAGGAAUUAGGAUAUGGAUGUCAAUUCCUAUGUGAUGCAUGAUAUUGCAAGAUGCAUGUUUCAUCACAAAUUUCUUGCAUAUGAAUAGAAAGCUUUUGUUUUGCUUAUUCCUUUACAAGUAUUACGUUUGAUUUUGAUAAUUUGAUCUCUUUCUUUGACCUUGAUAACAACUAGCUCCUAUUCACAGAAGGGAAGAAAGAAAAAAAAAUCUUUGUAUAUUACUAUUGGAACUAAUAUUCCAGCAGGGAAAUUCAACUUCAGAAGCUUGUAAAGUAAGAUUAUCCAGCAUGGAAAUUCAACUUCCAGCAUGUAUAUUACUAUUGGGCAUAAAUGACCAUUCAAAUUUUCUCACCUAGUUAGCAUAACAACCUCUUCUUGUUUCUACUCCCAUUCUUUCAUAAAAUUUGAUGAAAUUUUUUGCCUUAGUAGGCUUGGGGUUCCUAUCAACAUCCCCUUUCAAAAUCCAUCAUGUCCGAAAGGUGAAAUGUAGGAAGUCCCCGUUGAAUGUAAGAUCCAACGAGUUUUCAAAGCGUGGGAGGUUCUGCCGUUUGACCUCGGUUGGUUCAUACCUGUAUCAUAUCUUGAAUAGGUUAGCUUUUGAGGUUGAAUUGUAAUUGGUGUCAUACCAAUAUUCUGGACAACUCAACCACUGGCUGACUCUCAGGUUUAAAAUCAGAAAGACACCUAAGUACUUACCACUUUGGAUUGUCCAUUGAUGGAGGGUGGUAGCAGUAGUGAAUCAAAGCUUACCCUUGGCAGGUGAGCAGUGCAACAAAAUGUGCAAAUUUGGUGAGUUGAUUCACCAGCACCAUUACAGUAUCCAAGCUCAUAAUAGUCUUUGGUAGCCCUCAUAGCAAAAUCCAUAUACAAAUCAGUCCAUGUAUUAUCUAGAAUAGGUGCGGGAGACUUUAUGGAGAAAGUGCUAAAUAUUUAUCCCUUCAAAAUACAAUAGGGUUGAUAUUCUUCUGUAGUUUCUCUGAAAUUUGGAAUGACCCCUUGAAAGUGAAGUGAGUCAUGGAAUUCUCUCUAUUCUUGCAUUAACAAAGGGAUUUUCUAGGAUCCCUUAGGUAACUAAUUCCACCCUACUUCAAUUUCCCUUCUGCACUUGGAGACCUUGACAGGAGUUUGGAAUAAUAGUAACUCUUGCAUAAUACCUAAGUUUCUCAUCUGUGAUAAAAUCUUCCUCUAUUCCCAACUGAAAAAUGUCCUUGUUGUUAGGGACUUGGGUAUUCUGCAGUGCCCAAAGUCCCACAUCAGGUAGUAUGGGAUGUUUGAUGUUGUAUUUAAAGAGAGUGAUUCUUUCCCCUUAAUAGCUAACUUUUAAGGUGUGGUUUCCGACUUUCUUAGGUACUUAACACAGUUAAUUGGGUCAUAGGUCAAGCAAUCUUACCAUAUUUUUUUAAGUAACCUCCUAUAGUACUGUUAACCGAAGGAUUCCUCCCAACCCUUUUCAAACUUGUGGGAGUUGGCCCCUCCUCUAUGGCUUACAUUUUCUUGGGGUAAGUUGCCACCCUUCAUUGAAGAUUUGCUCCUAGAUGCACCAGUUUAAACUGCCUGAAGCUGCAAGUUAUUCUAUUGUUAAUAAGUGACACUGUCUUAACAGUUGUAAAACUAAUCUCAAUUCUCAAAUCUUCUCUAUAUGCUUCAUAUUCUUGCUCUAUAUAAGCAUGUCAUCCAAAAAUACCUAGUCAGAUCUCCUCAACCAUGGCUUGAGAACAAAUUUUGUAAGACAUCCCUAUGACGGGUAUUAUGACUUUUUGGUUAUGCCAAUUGGUUAAUAGCUUAAAUAAUUCCCAUUCCUCUUCCAAAUUUCAGGCAUUAGUGGAUUUUGGUUAUCAAGCCAUGUGUAAGGAGAUUUGCCUUAGUAUAUCGUGAAGCUCAUCGAAGAUUGAAAUUUUGAAAUUUUUCUGGUAUUAUGCCUUAUAGCUCUAGCAUGUAACACUUCAGCCACUUUGUUCUCAGACUCAUUCUUUUGGUAGUGAGGAUAUCUUUGGAGUUUUUUGGUUGGGAUUUCAUCCUCCUUUAACAUAAUAGCAUUGUUUUACUCUCUUAUAGGUCUUAAUCUUGUAAGUUAGAUUAAGUCUUGGAAUUCAUGUAAUGCUUGUGGCACGUCUUAGAAAGAAAUUGAUGACCCUUGGGCUGAUGCUUUUGGAUGAGGUAACUAAUCGAAUUGGAUCCUCUCAAGCAAAAUCCAUAUGACCGAGUCGUGUUAUUUUACACCGUUGAUUAUACUCUUAUGCAUCCCACACAUGGUUUCACCUUCGUGAUCAAUGCUAAAAGAAACAAUACAGGACUUGAUCGUGUGAAAUUUCGAAUGAAAAAAUUCCAUUCUCACUAAAGUAAUACUUCUCUUCAUUCUAUUUCAACACCAUUGUGGUUUUCCAUAAGAUUUAGAUUCUGCAUAAGGCAGGAUAACCCUCAAGAGUCAUGUCUUCCCUGCUUCAUUCAUGAAGUUCCAACUCUUGGAAGUUAUCUUCUCCCCCUCCAAGAAUCGGCUACAAGUCAAGACCAAGAAGUACCUUCAUCCCCUUGAGCUUCAUUUAGGGGAAACAGAUGUUAUAUUAUCUUACACUACCAGCACUUUCAAAUU